AACGAACGCUGGCGGCGUGGAUUAGGCAUGCAAGUCGAGCGCGAUCAGUUUGGUGCUUGCAUUAAACUGUGAAAGCGGCGAAAGGGAGAGUAACGCGUAGUUACCUACCUCAGGGUUCAGAAUAGCCACGGGAAACUGUGGGUAAUGCUGAAUAACAUCUCCGGAUCAAAGGUGUGAUUCCGCCCCGAGAGGGGACUGCGUCCUACUAGCUUGUUGGUGGGGUAAUGGCCUACCAAGGCGUUGAUGGGUAGCGGGUGUGAGAGCAUGACCCGUCUCACUGGGACUGAGACACUGCCCAUACACCUACGGGUGGCUGCAGUCGAGAAUCUUCGGCAAUGCGCGAAAGCGUGACCGAGCGACGCCGCGUGCGGGAUGAAGGCCCUCGGGUUGUAAACCGCUGUCGUAGGGGAGGAAGGCUCCAUGAAGAAUGGGGUUUGACCUAUCCUAGGAAGAAGGACGGGCUAAGUUCGUGCCAGCCGCCGCGGUAA
rnacentral:rRNA from 1 species